CGGGGUGUAGUAUACCGGCAGUACGCGCGCUUCGGGUGCGUGAAGACCGAGUUCAAUUCUCGGCACCCCGACCA
rnacentral:tRNA from 1 species